rnacentral:miRNA from 1 species
AGGCAAGAUGCUGGCAUAGCUGC